AAAAUCAUAACUCCAUCUACAACACCUUCAUCUCACCCAACCUAAUUAAGGAAGAUAUAAUGAUCUGAGAAGCUACCUCAAAUGGAAUUUAUUCCACAAAAUCGGCUUACUCACUCCUGGAUACUUUUCAACACCAAAUAAAGGAAUUCAUGAGCCACAAUUUUUUGUGGAUCUGGAAAUUGAAAGUUCCAAAGAAGAUUUAAUCCUUUUUUGGCUACUAUUCCAUGAGAGGCUUUCUACUGGAGCUUUUCUCCACCAUGUUGGGAUACAAACAUACCCCAUAUGCAACCUGUGCAAUCAAGCAAAUGAGAAAUUAGCACACAUUUUUUUUAAUGCACAAACUCAAAU
rnacentral:lncRNA from 1 species